rnacentral:rRNA from 1 species
UGGGGAAUAUUGGACAAUGGGGGAAACCCUGAUCCAGCAAUGCCGCGUGAGUGAAGAAGGCCUUAGGGUUGUAAAGCUCUUUCGCCCGCGAAGAUAAUGACGGUAGCGGGAGAAGAAGCCCCGGCUAACUCCGUGCCAGCAGCCGCGGUAAUACGGAGGGGGCUAGCGUUGUUCGGAAUCACUGGGCGUAAAGGGUGCGUAGGCGGGUCUUUAAGUCAGGGGUGAAAUCCUGGAGCUCAACUCCAGAACUGCCUUUGAUACUGAGGAUCUUGAGUUCGGGAGAGGUGGGUGGAAUUGCGAGUGUAGAGGUGAAAUUCGUAGAUAUUCGCAAGAACACCAGUGGCGAAGGCGGCUCACUGGCCCGAUACUGACGCUGAGGCACGAAAGCGUGGGGAGCAAACA